rnacentral:ncRNA from 1 species
GGAAUCCGCAAUCCUACAGGGCGGGACGACGGGUGGCGGCGACCACCUAAAAAAGCCUA